rnacentral:rRNA from 1 species
UACGUAGGGUGCAAGCGUUAAUCGGAAUUACUGGGCGUAAAGCGUGCGCAGGCGGUUUUGUAAGUCUGGCGUGAAAUCCCCGGGCUCAACCUGGGAAUUGCGUUGGAGACUGCAAGGCUAGAAUCUGGCAGAGGGGGGUAGAAUUCCACGUGUAGCAGUGAAAUGCGUAGAGAUGUGGAGGAACACCGAUGGCGAAGGCAGCCCCCUGGGUCAAGAUUGACGCUCAUGCACGAAAGCGUGGGGAGCAAACAGG